UACGUAGGGUGCAAGCGUUAAUCGGAAUUACUGGGCGUAAAGCGUGCGCAGGCGGUUCGUUGUGUCGGUGGUGAAGCCCCGGGCUUAACCUGGGAAUGGCCAUGGAAACUGGCGAACUGGAGUGUGGCAGAGGGGGGUGGAAUUCCCGGUGUAGCGGUGAAAUGCUUAGAUAUGACAUAGAACACCAAUUGCGAAGGCAGCUGGCUACAGGGAUAUUGACACUGAGGCACGAAAGCGUGGGGAGUCAAACAGG
rnacentral:rRNA from 1 species